GUCGCGAUGGAUUGGACACGACUUCGCAAUUAACAACAACAACAACAACAAGGUUUAUUGAAUGUCCUACUCCAACAUAAUCUAGGUGUCUUCCUAUUAAAAAAAAAGCCAGAACAAUAAAAAAGAAGCAGAAGAUUUAUGAUGGAAAAGAAUCUGAAAUACGCCAAUAAAGAGCAACAGGCAGAGAUAUCAGUCCCUACUCACCAGGGCUUAUUGUGAUUUAUGGAAUGUAGCUGUCAAUAUAAUUAAUAUUCAUUGGCUUCUGAAUAAUUCAAGCUAUGAUGAACGUGGUCGGUGUUCUUUUAACUGUUUACUAAUGUAUGUGGUUCUUAGAAAAAAAUCCAUGAAACAUAUUUUUUCUUUCUAAUAUUUUGCCAGUUUUCCUGGCAAUUCACAACAACUUUAACCCUAUUAAGGCCCCAAAUAUGCUAUCGAUUUCUAUGAAUUUGCUGGUAAUGAUGUGAUUGUGUACUGUGUACUUGUGUACUGUGGAACAGCCUUUCUAUGAAAAUCAGACUGACUCCCUUUUUGCUACUAUUUUGUCAACUACUAAAGAUCAAUCUGUUUCAGAGAGCCUUGCCCUGAUUUUAUUUGAAAUUGUCAUCUUUUUUUAUUUUCUUUCUAUUCUUGCAGUGGACUUAUACUUUUGUUCUUGAAUAAGGAUUUGUUUUAUACAGUUUUUUUCCAUGUGUGCCACUAAGAGUUGUUUUCUCUUGUGGUGGCACAGAAAAUAUGUUUAGUAAGUGAAUGAAUACAUGAUUUUGGUGAUAAUUUUAGAAAAGCCUUGAUGUAUGCCCAAGCCUGAGUGUACAUCACCCACCAACCUACAAUCACAAGUUAUCUAUCCCUGAUGUAAACCAGAUCACUGGCAUUAUCAUCCAUAUCACAAAUAAGAGAAUUAAAGUUUCAAAUAGAGUGAUUCAGCUAUGAAGCUUCCAUAUAGGUAAGAUUCCCUGCAUUGUAUCAAUUGUAUAUUCAGAAUUAGAUCAAAAUUAAAGUUAAUGGCUGGGUAGCAAGAGACUUCAAUGCAAAUACACACCUAAGCAGGGUUGCCCAUUACUACUCUUAUAAGCAAUAACAUUGUCAUUAAGCAUCUUUUGAUCAAAUGAUAAUAUUCAGGACAUCAUAAUUAAAAAUAUAAAGUAUCACCUCUCACUAGUCCACCUAUUCUAUAACUAGCAAAAGUGAGCAACAUCUCAGGAGAUGUUUUUCAAAUGAAUCUGGAGCCAUCUUCAUUCAAAAUAUUGGCUGGUCAACCUGUGAUCAAUACUCUCUCAUAUAAAUGCACACCUAUCUAUCGUGCAGAACAGAAAUUCCUAUGAUUUCCUUCCUAUAUUAAAUAUAGUGAUACCUAUUAGCAUUGUCCAACUCUGAAAUCAGCACAACUAAUAAAUAGUUCUGCAAUUUGAGAGUCCCACUCAGAAAGUGUAAAAUAUUCUAAAAAUAGCAAAAGGAUAUUGAGAUAUAGCUGUCUCAUAAUUCAAAUGUACCUUCUAAGCAAGAGUUAGAAGCACAUUUUGCUUUAGAGCUUGUUCACUUUUGUAAGCCUACAGAGAUUUCAAAAGGUUUCUUUAAUGCAUAUUGUUUAAUAAACUUGUCAUAGUUUUGUUUUCAUAGGGACAGGAUUUUUUGUUAAUUCAUUUGCUUAUUUUACUUAAAUCCAAGUAACAUAAAUAAAGCAACAUUUUCACUGUUCUUUCUAAAAUGAAAGGGUAAAUUUUAGGCACAGUUUUUUAUUUGUUAUGUUGUCAUGCAUUCCAUUAAAUAUAUUUAACAGAUUAAUAUAUUUUCCUACUUGAGUGUUAGCACAAUAAAUACAAUUCAAGAAAAUGACUCAUCACUAAACUUUUUUUCAUGAUAUGGAAUAUAUAAUUUAUUAUCAUUAUCGAGUAAAGUCAGAUCUACUUCAAAAGAGUCUAAUUUUCUUUAAGUAACAGAUGCAUUUACAGGAAAAAUGUGCUAAAUAGUUUUCAUUUAACAUAAAAAAAACAUUUACAAAAAAACAUAGCGUGAGUGUUGUACUUUACAGAUAUAGACUGUAUUAAUAUAGAUUAAAAAAUCCCAAUUAUUCUUAAUAGUAAACAACACAGAUUAAAUCAUUAUUUGGCAUCAAAUUUUGAAUCUGACAUAGCAUUAACUUGGAUGCACACCCUAUAUUUUAACUAAUAACUUUUAAAUUAGCCUAUAGCCAAUUGCUCUUCUGCCUUUAAAAAUAUGUAAGAAAACUGGGCUAUUGCUGAAUAUGACCACUUGGCUGGACAGGAUUUCUCAUGUUUCACCUAUUUUGAGAUAGCUGCAGUGGCUGCCAAUCCAUUUCCAAGGCCAAUGUAAAGUGCUGUUCUUAGUCUUUAAGCAGCAUGGUGUGAUUAUCUCAGGCAAAAUGUUCUCCUAUCCUGAUUGUGUGAAUUUAUGUGAACCAUCCAGGAUCAUGUAUUAGCCUGAUAUACAUUUUUUUAUAAUUAAAAAAAGUAAUUUUUACUGAACUCAGGUGAUUCUACUAGGUAUGCCCAGUGCACUCAUACAUUUCAUGAUUAUUUUAGUAAUCCUAACCUAACCUAAACUUGAGAUUUCAUAUAAGAAUUUUGAAACUGGCUUUGUUUUAAGAGAUCCUGAAAUUAUUUUAAGACAUAUUUAAGACAUAUUGAGACCUUUGCAAAAGUGUUAAUCUCUUCUUCCUGCUUUUGUUAUUUACUUUAUUUAUUAUUCUUGUGUUUGUGUGUUUAUCAAUCAGGAUUUGAUAUGUCAUCAUCUGGUACAAAAUCUGUUCCAUUUGAAUCUGCUGGAGCCUUUCAAACGUGUUUGCUAAAAUAGCAUAGAAAUAACUUUCUUCUCUAAAUAAGUUAUGUACUUAUCUGGUGACCUCUGUAUCUUCCUGUAUAUGACACUUUUCAUUGUAAAAGACAGUAAUCUACUUGGAUAUAUUUAUUAAUACAGACUUCUACCUAGAUUUCCAUAAGGGAUAGGGGGAACAGAAAGAUCAACAAUUUCCUCAACUGAGAACAAGAGGAUAUUGAUAGCCAAAGAUUACCAGUGAAUUCAUGUCAUUGUCUUGAAAGGAACAAUGCUUAAAUUAGAUAAAACUUCAGCCCUCCUCAGGCAUUCUGCAUUAAUGGGCUCUGUCUAAGUCAAAUAUUCCUUAAAUUCAACUCAAAUAACCCCUUCUUCUAUAAACAUGUACAUGUUCAAAAUAAAAACAAAAGACCCUGGUUCACUAAAAAUUUCACUUGUACAAGCAGUUACACUGAAAGUAUAAAUAUCCAUGAGAGAAAGAUAUUAUUUGUAUCACAUUGCCAAUGGAGUUGGUUUACCUGGAACACUAAGUACAGUGGACACAUAAUUGCCAAGCUGGAUGAAAUCUAAUCUAACCUCAUGCAAAGCAGGAAAUCCACAUCAGUGUUACUGAUAGGGGGCCACCCAGAUUCCACUUAAAAGCCUCUAUUGAAGGAAAAUCACAACUAGUCAGACAGCAUUUGAAAACAUACACAUUUAAAUAGCUAUUACUAUCAGGAAUAUCUUCCUAAAUUUAGUCAAAGUCCCUAUUCCUUUAAUUUACUGAAUUACUUCUAAUUGAUGGUACAAGAAAAAACAAAUUUGCAUGCUUAUCACACCUUCAUCAAAUUUAUUAGAUUAACUAUCCUGUCAUAUCUUAAUUAUUGUUUGUCCAAACUUAAGGUACAAACUGUUUCAACCUUUGAAAUCUACUCACAAUAUUUUCCACAACAUUAAGUAUUUUGUAAUUUAAUUCAGCAGCCAUUUAUCUGUUCAAAAUAGUAACCCUUUACAAACCAGACCAUUAAAAGUUAAUUUGAGAGUUGCUUACAAUAAUAUCAAGUUUCUAUGAACAACAAAUACUUGAGCUAUUAUAUUUUUUUAGGCCUAGCAGGGAGACAAUCACAUUUGACUGGCAUCUGCUAUGCUCUGAUGUACAAAAAUAAAGUAAAAUAAUUCACCUUCAAACUGAAUUAUAAAAAAUGUAACUGAAUGGCUUAUUACAAAUAUCCUCAUCUUAGAGAACAUAAGUAUGCUAACAUUUUGAUUAGAGAGUUUCAGCUUUGAGUAAACUAUAUGAUUUUUUAUACACUUUCAUUUCUAGUUCUAAAGCAGGGAUCCCUGACCACCAGGCAAUCAGCACCAGUCCAGGGAUCACCAGGAACUGGGCCGCGCAUGCAAGUGAAGCUCCAUCCAUGCACACAUGGGAUCCAGGCAGCACAUGAAACCAUGCCCCUCGCCAGUAUACAGAAAAACCACCUGGGACCAGUCCUUGGUGCCCAAAACGUUGGGGGCCGCUAUUCUAAAGCAUCUAAAAUUGACCAUUUAUCCUGUAAUACUAAUUAUUAGUAUGAUUAUCAGAAUCAUGGAAAUAGCUUGAAAUACAUUCAUAGUCCAUAGCUAAAUAUUCAUUUAAACAUUAUGUAGCCACACCAAAGAAGAAUCUGGCUGGCAUAUUUAUUAAAACCAAAUGAACAAAUAAAUCAAUCAUAAAAUUGAGAUUUAAAAGUGCUAUAGUGCACACACUCUAAGAUAAAAAAUAUUCCAUUUCAAAUUACUGAGCCAAAAACAAUUAAUGACAAGAAGCAAUGGUCUGGGUUAAUCAACUCCUGUGGGAACAUAAAAAUAUCCUCAUCUUGGAGAACAUCAGUAUGCUAACAUCUUGAUUAAAGAGAUUCAGAUUGAAGGACAUCAGGCUUGAGGCUACCUGGAUCUCUCCAUGGCAUUUCCUCCCCCCCCCAAAAAAACCCCAUGAUUAUUCUUAUGAUUAUUUCAUAAUAAUCAUUGAAGGAUGAAUUCUAAUUUUGUAAUAUAAUUUGAAAAAAGUUAUCUACAAUACCCAAGUACUAUUUAUUAUUUUUAGCAAGCUUUUCUAUUGUUUGUCUGUAACUUGAGAUGCAGAUAUAUACUUAGGGCUGUGCAUGCUUUGAAAAUUAUUCAGAUAUACUUUAAACCUCAUAAAAUAACAGCAUCUCUGCUAUUUAUUAAAGCAAUCCAACAAUUUUUCAGAUAACCUUCUGGGAAAAACUUACUUAAAUGAAUAUAGUCUUUAAAACAGUGGUAUCUUUUUUCAGGCCUGAGUGGAACCAGAAAACCAGCUUCCUUAAUAAAUAAUAGAAAGAUAUCAGAUUUGUGCAAGAACUCAAAUACUUAUUUAAAUUAUUUUUGAAACAGGCAAAGCUCUAGAGUACUUGUUGCAUUUUAUUGGGGGGGGGAGACAGAAGAAUAUUCUAUAUCUAAUGCUCUGAUUAAGCAAGAAAGUGAAAGUAACUAAAUAAAAAUAUUAAAUCUGAAAAUAUUUGGGGAUUAUAUCUGCAGUAUGUUGAGAACAUUGUAAUUAGCAAUGAAGAGCCUUCUCAAAGGCCUUGCAAUCAAAACAAGGUAUGGACGUUAUUUCAACAUGUUUCUUGAGCACAAUACUGAUCUUUACAUCCAUGUAUCCUCAUGUUUGCGUAACACAGCAGCUAACACACAUCAUUUGUUUGAUAUUUGUGCCAUAUGUUCUGGCUUAUUCUGGAUUUA